GGGAAGGGAACUACCUUUUAUUGCAUUUCUCCUAAAUCCAGGUGCUUUACAUAGAUUAUCUCAGAUAAGUUAAUCCUAGGCAGCAACCCAGGAGGAUUGUCAUUUAACAGACAAAGAAAGGGAGAUUUAGGGAGGUUGGGAAAGUUACCGAAGAGCUCAAGAAAAGCAGGCAGAUGUGGGGCCAAAGUCCAGAAUGUUCUCAGGGACACAGCACCAGCUAAAACGCAGAAAACCAAUGACUCUUAGACUCAUUUCUGGGCCUCCGACUGAGCAAGAGAGAGAAGGAUCUUCAGGAGUGAAAAUGAAGCAGACCCUCGCUGAGUUUAAAGGAGAUCUGACUGACAUUGGGAAGUGGCAUCCAAUAAGAUGCGUGUUUCUUCUGUCCGCUCCAGGAUGUGUCAACAGGAGAACUGAAAGCUGAAGGUGAGAGUGAAGUUUGAUUGAAGGAGAAGAGUUGGUUCAGAAGCUCAGUGAGGUCACUGCUGCUGGGGAGAGGCAGAGGGGCGCACACCAGUCACUGCUGCAAAGGGGGAUGUCUUCGAGGCAAGGGUGCUUUGAAAGGAAAUGGUUUUGAAAAGCUUCUGCUAACCUUACCCACACACGUGAAUGUCCCAGAGUCACGGCCUCCUGCUUCACUUCGCCCUGGAACAUCAUAUGUGAAUUCUCUUCUGCCUGCAUCAGCCUCUCCAUGUGCAGAUCCGUCUCAAGAGACCCCUUCAGCCGAUGCCCUCUGUGCCCCCGACACAGCCCCUUGGCCCUUGCCUUCCACACACCCGCUGCACCAGCUUCCUCCUGGCAGCACCUUCCUUUCUGCUUGAGGCUUUCCCAGGCCUCCUGCCUCUGAGAAAGUCAGAAGUUGAAGCCUCCUUGAGAGCCCGUGAGAGCUCCCUCUCCCCUGGGCAAGCGGUGCUGAUGCGUGAUCUCCGAAUCCGUCCACCAAACAGCCACUGCAGGACUGAGCUCCAGCGGCCACCAUGGAGGCAGCAGGAAAGAGAGCGCUGCUGUAUCGGGUGUGCACACCCACAGGAGCACCUGUAAACCAUGAACACACCCACAUGAGCCAG
rnacentral:lncRNA from 1 species